UGUUUCACCUCAUUGUAACGGCAACAUCAUGACUCACGCACUUACACACUCACACACACAUUCACAGUGGGACUCUCCUCCCAGCAUGCACCUCUGUGUGCAAACACAUUCCUGCGGCCGCUGACCCUCGGCCCAGCGGUUGCCAUGACGACCAGUGCCCCUCUCCAUGGCGACGGCUCCCCCUCCGUGCGGCUCGGCCCAGGCCAGUCCGACAUCUCCAGUCAUGACAACCCCUCAGCGGGCAGAGCUACAUUUCAGCACAUAGACACACACUCAUGGAUACAUGUGUGUGCACAUCAGCUGCACGUUAAUGGAGAGGAGUGGAGGCUCUGCGGGUUACUCUUGGGGUGUUUUCCUGAUCAUGGAUUUAGUCUCUUCCUUGACUGAAUUGCACUGUGAUGUGAUUCUCCACUGAUAAUGUCCUCCAAAUCAAGACUAGGGAGCUUCCUGUUAAAGGGCUACUCCAGCCUUUCAGCCUUAUCUAGAUACCCUGAUAACAAAAAAUAUUUUUACACUUAGACUUGUUUUGAUGGUGAAGAACAGAAACCGACGACCGGAAGAACUGGAGACAUCAGAGAGACAGAAUGUCACACCGCUUGUCUGUGGGUCUCUGAUGAGCUACAGUUGUUGCUACAGUUACUAUAAUCAUACUUCUUAGAGGUGUGUGUGUGUAAGUGUGUAAGUGUGUAAGUAAGGGGCUCGUUUCUCUGUCAGAACCCUUCUUCCACAAGCGGUAAUGAUCAAAGCACUGCUGGACCCCCUACCACACCACCUCUCAUCUACAGCAAAUCCAUCUAGAGAAAAUCCAUCUCCAGCCAAAUCGGCCAGCCACAAACGCACACACACACACACACACUCACACACGCACACGCGCACACACAGACAAACAGCCCUGUGAGCUAAAAUCAGUUAGUUUGAUGUCGGUUUGCAGAUCAUUUUCCGCAUAAUGUCACACGCACCCAAGGUCAUCAGCGUGUGCCAUUAGUGUUUUUAAGCUCAGAAUGUUCACUGUCAGCUACAUUUCACUCAGGCUUCAGUGCUGAAUAAGAGUGUGUGCUCAGCAAGAGGUAUACACAUUACCCGUCCACACAAACACACACACAUAGAACCAUAUACCUUAAUUAUACAGACACAGCACAAAGGUAAACAUGUGA